AACCACCAGCAUGGGUUGCUAUCCAACAAAGAAACUCCUUUUUCAUAAUAGCACAAGUCCUGUUGAGAGAAAAUGGAAGUUAGCACGAAGUAUAUAAAUCUUGAAAAAAUAAUAAAGUUUCCAGAGUAGCUUAUAGAAUCAAUUUAGGCAAAUAUCUGGAGAUUUUACGUAGCAGUUUUAAUUUUGGUUUUCUUGAUACAACUGAGGAACUCUAGUACACCGACAGGUAUGUUGUCUUCAAAUUCGUUGUCGUUGAAUGUUAGCUGAAUGUUAGCAGUUGUCCUAGAAUUAUUUUUCGGAGUUCGCAUUCAUCCUGUACAUCCAUAUUUUUGCAAACGAAUAAGAUUUACAUCACAUUUCUAAAAUAUAAUAUGUUGGUAUUGUAUGGCAAGACACACUAUGGCAGGGAACAUUCUUUUCUUGGAUAAUAAUCGGUGUCAAUUCCUUUGGAUAUAUAGAACCAUAUAAUAGAUUGAAACGAUCACCAUUUUUUCUGUUCAUAUAUAUUGCUGCUAGAUAUUCUGGAUGGAACAUUAGAAGUUUACCAUGCCGCCAUAAUGGUUACUACUUGCUUGCAUCAAUUCAAGCUACUACUUGUUGCAGAUAGUUUGAUAAAGGAAACAACAUGGCAAAUGUACAAAUCAAAGAGGUGUUUGCUUGAGUCUAUGGCAAUAGACCAAUUGUGUUAAAUACUUUCUCAAAUUAAUUUAAAUUUCUAGUUUAACCAUCAGUAAAUCCUGGUUGUAAAUCACUGUAAAUCAAACAUAGCUUCAUCAUAAUUUACACAAAGAAAAAGAGAUACCUGCAGCAAAGUAGGUCUAGGCGAUGGUUGAUGGUCUUCAGACAAAGUCGACGGAGGCAAAAUUUUGUGUAACAACAACAAAAAUUGAAGUUAAAACUCCAACAGUUACCUUGUUCAAACAACAUUCCAGAUUUUGCAAAGAUGCAAUCAGCACAGAGUUCAAUCAAAGAGGACGAGUUAUAACAAUGUCGUAAAUAGUGGAGUGACAUAUAAUCUUGAGAAGCUAACUAUAGGAUGCAUAAGCUACUGGGUGGGCCCAUAGUGGAGUGAUCUGGAUGUUCCUUCCAACAUUAUUUUGUCAGCACGAGCAGAUCAUGGCUUUAAUUACUUGCUAGUAGCUAGCUGCACAAACUAAAGAUUCAGGCAUACAGAUCGAAGAGGGGCUUGUUUACCCAGUCGGCAAGAGCAGAUCGAGGUUUCAAAUAAUUGCUAGCAUUAAGUUAAGUUGGUGCCUGCUACAACUAGCUGCACCAACAAACAAAGAUUCACAAAAAUAUAGAUAGUACAGGUGCUUGCUUCAGCCUAUGUCAACACACAGUUUUUCCAAUCAAAGUGUUGCUUACUUGCUUGCAUCAAUCUAAACUUCUACUUGCUGCAGCUACUUUCACAAACAAAAUAAGAUAGCAAAAUAAUAUAAAGUUUACAUCCUAUAAUCACAACUGAACUCUGGUUCUAAAUCAAAGGUAGCUACUAUAGAACCUGAUCCAUGUUUUCAACAUCAGAGUGUUAUGUACCACUACCACAACCAGUAGUCAAAUAAGACCAAAGACCUAUCUGAAACAAUGUUACACCGGGCUAGAAAAAAGUACAUAACCUACUUGUUUUGCCAUUAUGCGGCAUUAAUUUUAGUAAGUGUCAAUUAUAAUGUUAAAUGUAAGACAUUUAUUUUUGGACGGAAGGAGUUUCUUUUAAAGUUUUAAAAUAUAAUGUAAUGCUUACAUAAAAAUUGUAUUACUUUCUUAAUAAUAAUUAUCAUUUUUAUUGAGUGGUAAUAAUGUUUUGUUUUUUGAUGGGUAAUAGCAUUUUUGUGUACAACAUAUUUUGAAAAAA
rnacentral:lncRNA from 1 species